GCCCAGACUCCUACGGGAGGCAGCAGUGGGGAAUAUUGCACAAUGGGGGAAACCCUGAUGCAGCGACGCCGCGUGAGCGAUGAAGUAUUUCGGUAUGUAAAGCUCUAUCAGCAGGGAAGAAAAUGACGGUACCUGACUAAGAAGCCCCGGCUAACUACGUGCCAGCAGCCGCGGUAAUACGUAGGGGGCAAGCGUUAUCCGGAUUUACUGGGUGUAAAGGGAGCGUAGACGGCUGUGCAAGCCAGAUGUGAAAGCCCGGGGCUCAACCCCGGGACUGCAUUUGGAACUGUGUGGCUGGAGUGUCGGAGAGGCAGGCGGAAUUCCUAGUGUAGCGGUGAAAUGCGUAGAUAUUAGGAGGAACACCAGUGGCGAAGGCGGCCUGCUGGACGAUGACUGACGUUGAGGCUCGAAAGCGUGGGGAGCAAACAGGAUUAGAUACCCCUGUAAGG
rnacentral:rRNA from 1 species